rnacentral:misc_RNA from 1 species
AGCUCAAGUUACCCCCUAAGUUGGCCAUUUCCUUUGGAAAUUCUUUAGAGGGCGUUCGCCGACGAAUGCCAAAAUCAAUAGCUUGAUUCCUUCAUUCCCUAAAGAAUGUAAAUUCUGUGGGAAUUUGGAAACUGUGCAAAAUCUAUUUUUCAGAUGUCGAAAAGCUAAAAAGAUUUCUCUCUUCUCCAUUGAUGCUUCGAUCCCUUCAUCCACAUGGACAUCUUCACUAGAUUGCUGGCUUGAAAUUACUUCUACUCUUCGAGGUGUUGAACAAGCUCAGGAUCAUGUGGUGAUGAUGGUAUUCCUUUCGUGGAGUACUUGGAAAAGUCGCAGCCAAUUCAUUUUUGGAAACCAAGCUAAUUCCAGCAUAAGGAGCUAAUUUCAGCAGCACUUGCCUGUUUGGAUGAAUUUUCCUCUGCUCUAGAAUUACCUUCCCAGCAGUAAAGGGACAACCAUCAUCCUUCAAUUACCUGGUUACCUCCACCUCAAGGCAUUGUCAAAAUUAACUUCGAUGAGG